rfam:Gallionellales bacterium GWA2_55_18 gwa2_scaffold_10188, whole genome shotgun sequence.
UAUCCCCUGCGGUGUUCGUCAGGCCCGCGAUUCUUUGAGCCAAUAAGUUAAUUCAGGUCGCGACCCACCGAGCCGCUGUUGUGAACGUCCAAUCCGGAUGAGCCUGAUGCGGCAGGGAAGCGACCAUCUUGGACCGCAGGUUCAAGAUACCGAGUCAACGGCACAGGCGGGGGACUU